AGAGUUUGAUUCUGGCUCAGAACGAACGCUGGCAGCGUGGAUUAGGCAUGCAAGUCGAACGGGAAGCCGUUGAUCAAUUCUUCGGAAGAGUGAUUCGGUGGAGAGUGGCGGAAGGGUGAGUAACGCGUGGGCAAUCUACCUCCAAGUUGGGGAUAAUUCCGCGAAAGCGGGACUAAUACCGAAUGUGGUCGUAUGUCGCAUGGCAGACUGACUAAAGGUGGGGAUCCUUCGGGACCUGCCGCUGGGAGAGGAGCCCGCGUGCCAUCAGCUUGUUGGUGAGGUAACGGCCCACCAAGGCUUACGGCUAGCUGGUCUGAGAGGAUGAUCAGCCACACUGGGACUGAGACACUGCCCAGACUCCUACGGGAGGCUGCAGUCGAGGAUCAUUGUCAAUGCGCGGAAGCGUGAACAUGCGACGCUGCGUGGAGGAUGACGGCUUUCGGGUUGUAAACUCCUGUCAUGAGGGAAAAACGAUCCUGCAAUCAAUAUCUGCGGGAAGUGAUGGUACCUCAAGAGGAAGCCACGGCUAACUCUGUGCCAGCAGCCGCGGUAAUACAGAGGUGGCGAGCGUUGUUCGGAUUUACUGGGCGUAAAGGGUGCGUAGGCGGCUUCGUGUGUCGGAUGUGAAAUCCCACGGCCCAACCGUGGAACUGUGUUCGAAACUGCGGAGAUAGAGUGCAGGAGAGGAGAGCGGAAUUCUUGGUGUAGCGGUGAAAUGCGUUGAUAUCAAGAAGAACACCGGUGGCGAAAGCGGCUCUCUGGAAUGUUACUGACGCUGAGGCACGAAAGCUGGGGGAGCGAACAGGAUUAGAUACCCUGGUAGUCCCAGCUGUAAACGGUGUGCACUUGGUGUGGGAGGUAUUGACCCCUUCCGUGCCGGAGCUAACGCGUUAAGUGCACCGCCUGGGGAGUACGGCCGCAAGGCUAAAACUCAAAGAAAUUGACGGGGGCCCGCACAAGCGGAGGAGCAUGUGGCUUAAUUCGAUGCAACGCGAAGAACCUUACCAGGGCUUGACAUCUACCUGCAUGCCCCCUGAAAGGGGGGAGGCCUUCGAGGGUGGUAGACAGGUGCUGCAUGGCUGUCGUCAGUUCGUGCCGUGAGGUGUUGGGUUAAGUCCCGCAACGAACGCAACCCUUGUGGUUAGUUGCAACUGCAGGUGAUAAGCCUGCGGGCACUCUAGCCAGACUGCCUGUACAAGCAGGAGGAAGGUGGGGAUGACGUCAAGUCAGUAUGGCCCUUACGCCCUGGGCUGCACACGUGCUACAAUGGUCGGUACAGAAGGAUGCAAUACCGCGAGGUGGAGCUAAUCCCCAAAACCGGCCCCAGUUCGGAUUGGAGUCUGAAACUCGACUCCAUGAAGCCGGAUUCGCUAGUAACGGCGUAUCAGCUACGGCGCCGUGAAUACGUUCCCGGGCCUUGUACACACCGCCCGUCACAUCAUGAAAGCCGUCUGCACCCGAAGUCGCUGAGCCAAUCCCGCCCUCGGGCGGGAAGGCAGGCGCCGAAGGUGUGGGUGGUGAUUGGGAUGAAGUCGUAACAAGGUA
rnacentral:rRNA from 1 species